UGUGGGAGCGAGCUUGCUCGCGAUGACGGUGGAUCAGCCAGCAAUCACGUUGACUGACCCGCCGCUAUCGCGAGCAAGCUCGCUCCCACA
rnacentral:misc_RNA from 1 species